rnacentral:tRNA from 1 species
GGGGAUGUGGCUCAGUGGUAGAGCACUUGCUUAGCAUGCAUGAGGCCCUGGGAUCCAUCCUCA